rnacentral:rRNA from 1 species
AUGGCUCGGCCAAGAUGGAGUCUUGCGAGCAGCGAGCGGUCGGUCAUCCCCGUGCGGCGUGGCGAGCGGUGGUGCUUUCCUGGUGGUGCCGGCCUGGGAUUUUUCCGUGGAGAGGCGGGUUUGAUCGUCGCAAGGCCGUCCCUUGGGGUGGGCGACGGCCGUCGCAGGCAGUCCUGGACCUGGCCGGAGGUGCUGGUUGGCUGCGGACCCUUGUGCAGGCUGGGUGUGGAUGGUGUUGCCGCGGUUUGCCUGCUGGGUGGUCGGUCGUCGGUCCUCGGCUAUGCAGCUACAUCGGCAAGUGCUGCGGUAGCGGCGGUGUGA